UGGAGAGCUUAAUCGGGUUAUUAGAUUAGCCAUGUGCUAAAACUCCCUUACGCACAUGGUUGAAACUGAAACGGAAUUGAUGUCGUCGGCGGGUACGGACGACGACAGUUUCUUCCCGUUCGACCGUUUGUUACAGCAGAAGCCCCACCUCUCUCAUCAAACCACCGCAGCCGUCGUUAUCUUACGCUCAUGAAACUACUUUGCCCCCUUCAUUUAACCCUAACUUACUUUUCCAAAUCUUAUUCGCUUUACUCACCCAAUCAACUUUUUCCCAUGAUUUUAAGUGAUCGAUUCCAUACGCAUGUUUGGUGUCGCUUCAAAACCCCGUUUCUCGCCCCUAAAUUUCGAUUUAUUUACCCUAGGGUUUCGAUCCGGUUCGCCGAGGUUUUUGUCUCUUCGGGGUGAUUCCGGAGGUGAGGAAAUGGAAUUUGUUCGGAAAUUGGGGGGAAGGUGUUGUUUUGUUCAGUCGAGGAAGAAGAACCAUAAAGUGGAAGUGAUUGAGUCCGAUAAUAAUGUCGUUAGCGGUGAAGAUAUUUUUGAAGCGGUGUCUGCCGGAGCCAUGGUUCCACCUGAUCACCUUGUAAUCAUGGUUAAUGGGAUCAUUGGCAGUGCUGCAGAUUGGAGAUAUGCUGCUCAGCAAUUUCUCGAUAGGCUUCCUGAUAAAGUAAUUGUUCACUGCAGUGAAUGCAAUUGUUCCACCUUGACUUUUGAUGGUGUUGACCGAAUGGGUGAAAGAUUAGCUGAAGAGGUAAUAGAAGUUGCCAAAAGGUGGCCUGAGGUGUCCAAGAUCUCAUUUGUAUCACAUUCAUUAGGUGGUUUAGUUGCCAGAUAUGCAAUUGGAAUUCUUUAUGAAAAAAAUUCACAACAAAAACAAAAUUUUGAAGCUAAAAUUGCUACUUUGCAACCAAUCAACUUCAUUACAGUUGCAACUCCACAUCUUGGUUCUAGAGGACACAGACAGCUUCCGAUUCUUUGUGGUCUUCCAUUUCUUGAAAGACGGGCCCCACAAACAGCUCAUUGGUUAGUUGGGAGAUCAGGGAAGCAUCUUUUUCUUACAGACAAUGAUGUUGAGGGACAGCCACUUCUCCUUCGAAUGGUUUAUGACUCUGAAGACAUUAAGUUCAUGUCGGCUUUAAGAUCUUUCAAGAGACGUGUGGCUUAUGCUAAUGCCAACUAUGAUCACGUGGUUGGGUGGAACACAUCAUCAAUUCGUCGUCAACAUGAACUUCCAAAGCCGAACCUUCUUGUAAAGGAUAAGAAGUAUCCACACAUUGUUUAUGUUCAGCCUGAAUCUGAUGACAUCAUCAAGAAUGAGGGGACAUCUUCUGUAGGUGUACCUCAAACUUUAGAAGGUCUAUUUUACCCUUUUAAAUUAGGAGAUGCUUCGAGGUCUUACUCAAGUACCUUGGGAACGUGUUGAUGUUAGCUUCCAUAAAAGCACACAACGAUAUAUUGCACAUAGUACUAUUCAGGUGAAAAGCUACUGGUUAAAUUCAGAUGGCGCAGAUGUGGUUCUUCAUAUGAUUGAUAAUUUUGUUCUUUAGCAUACGGUUUAUAUCCUUUUUAGUACUAUUUUAAAAAGGGCAUUUAUGUCUUUUUGUGUAGAGUUGUUUAACGAUAGAUUUUGUAAUUACUUAUAUAACUAGACUAAGGGGCUGUUUGGUAGAAAGUGAAUGGUCUAAUUAAAAAGUAUUAAACACA